GUGGAUUAGAUACCCUGGUAGUCCACGCCGUAAACGAUGAGUACUGGGUGUCGCGGGUAGUUGACCCCUGCGGUGCCGUAGCUAACGCGUUAAGUACUCCGCCUGGGGAUUACGGUCGCAAGAUUAAAACUCAAAGGAAUUGACGGGGGCCCGCACAAGCGGUGGAGCAUGUGGUUUAAUUCGACGCAACGCGAAGAACCUUACCUGGGCUAGACAACGGUGGACCGUCCUAGAGAUAGGACUUUCCCUUCGGGGACUGCCGGUUCAGGUGCUGCAUGGUUGUCGUCAACU
rnacentral:rRNA from 1 species